UAGGGAAUCUUCCACAAUGGACGAAAGUCUGAUGGGGCAACGCCGCGUGAGUGAAGAAGGUUUUCGGAUCGUAAAGCUCUGUUGUUGGUGAAGAAGGAUAAAGGCAGUAACUGGUCUUUAUUUGACGGUAAUCAACCAGAAAGUCACGGCUAACUACGUGCCAG
rnacentral:rRNA from 1 species